GCUCAAGUGAUCCUCCUGCCUCAGAUUCUCUAAGUGUUGAGAUUACAGGAGUGAGCCACAGUGUCUGGCCUGUUAUGUACCUCGUUCAGAAAAGGAGAGACAGACUAGCCCAGGAAGGCCCCUCCCCAGGUCAGAGAGCCGGAUUCUAACCCAACUGUCUCAGGGAUGAGCGUUCUACCCCACCCCCGCCCCCCAACACUCAUCACACUGGGUCUGCACAGACCCGCACACUUCUCAACUGGCCCUGUUCGUGCUCCCAGGAGCGCCUGCGACCUGUCCCCAGGCACACACACACUUCCAGGGCCAAAGCGUGCGGACAUUUGGCACGCAACUCUUCCCCUAGCAGUAAGUUCAAAAACAACCUUGGUAAAUAUUGUCCUGAGGGAGCACGUUGUCAUUCCCACGCCACCUCUGGCCUCCCGCAGUUGUGAAAAUAACCAGAUGUGUAUGGGUUUCUCAGUGGCCCCUGGAAACCUCCACCAGGGCCCAGUCUCCACUCCUGGCCUAAAACAAACAAGGGCCCCAAGCCAGAGGGAAGUCCCACACGCAUGGCUGUGGGACAGUCACCUCUGAAACGGACAGUGCCUCUGGGAAGAGAGGGAGGAAGUUCUGUGAAAUGGAGCCUGUGAAUUUCCCAGGGAAGGAUCUGCUUCCGUCUGGUGGACACUGAAGGUGAAGGCAGUGGAAGAAAAAGCAUGAUUACCUCCUACAGAGCACACAAUCCGAAUUUCUUUGGUGGUUGAUGACAGUGGAGCCUAUGGACCCUGCUGUGCCUCUUCACUGUGUCUGCCACCAGCCCUGUGUACACAUGGCGCACCCACACAUAAACACCCAGUGCUCAACCAACAGGAGGCCCCAGGGCCAGUUAUAGCUGGCACAUGGACACGACUGCCCUAGAGUGCCUGUGGCGUUCAGAGAUGUGAUUCUGCGUCAACAGGACCAGACUUCCAGAUUCGUCCAGGACUGUAAAGCCAGGGAAUUUCCCUGCCCAAGUGUAACGCCCCCAUUGGAUGCCAUGGGUGAAUGAAAGGACAGGACAGGCUCCCACCCUGCCCUUCCCCAGAAGCCGAUCCACAGCACAAGCUCUCUAGAACCCCGGCCAUGGAGAAGCUAAACCCAGGAUGGCCUCAGGAUGAGAAGCAACUUUUUGGGUGGUGUUCUUGGGGCCUCCAGAUCGGGGAGGCAUGGGCAGGAGUUAGGACAGCACAGGCCUGGGGAGGGAGCAGCAGGGCCCCCACACGCCCUGCACCAUGCUCCGCAGUGCCCCCAGGGCAGGGUGCAGGACUGCAUCUGGCUGAGCAACGGGCACCCCUCUUCAUUGUCACACCUGCAAGUAGUGCCUUAGGUGCUAGCUGCAGCUGGAAAAGCACAUGCAAGCUGGUGGCUUAACAAACAAGCACACCACCCCCUCAGCCACCAACUCCCAGGAACAAUGACAGCAUGAAGGUGGAUGAGACCCACACACUCAGCAGGCCCUGUUCAGCCAGAACUGUCCAUGAGCCACUAUGACAGUGCUGGCUACCAGAACAUCCUGGAAUCCCCUUGUCCAAGCUCCCCUCCAAGCUGACAGGAUGAUGGGACUCAGGAUCUAAAACAGUACCAUGAUGCCGUCAGGGUCAAGGACUCAAAGCAGCAGGGGACAGAGGCACAACAGGAAAGAGCCAGCCACAGGCAACCGACAAACAAUGUCUGCCCCCAUCUGGGCAGAAAGAUCAAACAUCAAAAACACACACUUCCAUAGUUAUUUUAACAGACCCUCCCACUUCUGGCUAGAAGCAACACCACUGCAAACACUCUUGAGGGGCCACCAGCCUUGAAUGUCACUUGUUCUCAAUGGACUCUGGGGCAAGCAGCCUUCACACUGGCUGCGACCUGCCAUGUCGUUUCCUAUAAUCCCCUAAGGUCGGAGGGCCUGGUGAGGUUUCAUUUUCAUUUCAGCCGGACACAUAUCAGUGUGUUGUUAUAGUUAAUGCCUUUCCAGCUUGGUCUUUACGCAGGAGUGUCUGGGUUUUAGUACUCAAAGUCCCACAUACCAGGAAAACCUGUUAAUACUGGGUAAACUGGGACAGUUGGUCACUCUAUCUUCACAUCAUUAUUUCCCCAAAAUAUCCUGGGGAAACACGAGUGUUUCACAAGAUGUUAAUCGAUGUUCUACUAAAAAGAGGAAGCCGAAAAGGAAAUGGUCCCAUGGUUAAAGUACGUUUGGGGAAUGAUGUGUUAAACAAAGGUAAAAAGUAAUCUCCUUAGAGGACAUUUCAAAGCAUGUAAGAUCAUAAUGUAUUUUGACCUUCUAAGAAGGGAAAUGUAUUCAUUUUAUUAAAUAUUCAUCGAGAGCGUAACUAUUAAAAUCUCGAGGACUACGAAAUGUUCUUAUUGGACACAGUUUGGAACACAGCUUGCUUUAUGGAAUAUAAAAGUAAAAUAAAAAACCUCAUACAGUGCUACCCCAGACUUACCAUGUGAGUAAACUGAGGCACACAGCAAUGCCCCCAAGGCAGAUCUGUGAGUACUUCUUACCUUCCCUUCCUAUCUUCCUCCCACUUUUCAUCCUUGUGAGGAAAUACUCCUUGCCCUAGUUGUUGGGUGUAGCUCCAUGCA